UACGGGGGGAGCAAGCGUUGUUCGGAUUUACUGGGCGUAAAGGCGCGUAGGCGGCCAGCACAAGUCAGUUGUGAAAUCUCCGAGCUUAACUCGGAAAGGUCAACUGAUACUGUGCGGCUAGAGUGCGGAAGGGGCAACUGGAAUUCUUGGUGUAGCGGUGAAAUGCGCAGAUAUCGAGGAGGAACAGCGGUGGCGAAGGCGGGUCUCGUGGGCCGAUGACUGACGCUGAGGAGCGAAAGCAUGGGGUAGCGAACAGG
rnacentral:rRNA from 1 species